CAGGAUUGAUGAGAGGCAUGAAGAACCAGUCGACGUCAUCGAUGUAUUGCGGAUGAGCUUCGUAGUUUUCCACCAAUUCACGGAUGAUUGUCACCUGCGUCGACGAAAAUGGCGUUCUUCGUUCCGUCUCCUCCGCUGGAUAUUUUCAUCAGAACCAUCUGAAUGUAAAGGUUACGUACUUCACGACCUUCGUAACUUUGGCCAGCGCUGGAAACGCUUACUAAAUUUGGGGUCACGAGGGGUUUAAACGGCUUAAACCAUUUGAGCCACGGCUUCAGCGAUCACUUUGAAAGCCUCCCAAGUCUCGAUCCCCG